UAGUUAAUAGCUGCAUUAUUUGACGUUAGCGACAGAAGAAGCACCGGCUAACUCCGUGCCAGCAGCCGCGGUAAUACGGAGGGUGCGAGCGUUAAUCGGAAUUACUGGGCGUAAAGCGCAUGCAGGUGGUUUGUUAAGUCAGAUGUGAAAGCCCGGGGCUCAACCUCGGAAUAGCAUUUGAAACUGGCAGACUAGAGUACUGUAGAGGGGGGUAGAAUUUCAGGUGUAGCGGUGAAAUGCGUAGAGAUCUGAAGGAAUACCGGUGGCGAAGGCGGCCCCCUGGACAGAUACUGACACUCAGAUGCGAAAGCGUGGGGAGCAAACAGGAUUAGAUACCCUGGUAGUCCACGCCGUAAACGAUGUCUACUUGGAGGUUGUGGCCUUGAGCCGUGGCUUUCGGAGCUAACGCGUUAAGUAGACCGCCUGGGGAGUACGGUCGCAAGAUUAAAACUCAAAUGAAUUGACGGGGGCCCGCACAAGCGGUGGAGCAUGUGGUUUAAUUCGAUGCAACGCGAAGAACCUUACCUACUCUUGACAUCCAGAGAACUUUCCAGAGAUGGAUUGGUGCCUUCGGGAACUCUGAGACAG
rnacentral:rRNA from 1 species